UACGAAGGGGGCUAGCGUUGUCCGGAAUCAUUGGGCGUAAAGCGCGUGUAGGCGGCUAGGUAAGUCUGCUCUGAAAGCCCGGGGCUCAACCCCGGGAGGCGGGUGGAUACUGUCUGGCUAGAGUCCGGAAGAGGAGAGUGGAAUUCCUGGUGUAGCGGUGAAAUGCGCAGAUAUCAGGAAGAACACCCGUGGCGAAGGCGGCUCUCUGGGACGGUACUGACGCUGAGACGCGAAAGCGUGGGGAGCGAACAGG
rnacentral:rRNA from 1 species